rnacentral:rRNA from 1 species
AACGAACGCUGGCGGCGUGUCUUAAGCAUGCAAGUCGAGCGGCAAGGAAGUGCUUGCACUUCCCUAGAGCGGCGGACUGGUGAGUAACGCGUGGGUGAUCUACCUCGGGGUUGGGGAUAGCCAUUAGAAAUAGUGGGUAAUACCGAAUACGCUUCCAGGGCUACAGCCUUGGAAGGAAAGGCGCUACGGCGCCGACCUGAGAUGAGCCCGCGUCCCAUUAGCUAGUUGGUGAGGUAACGGCCCACCAAGGCGAUGAUGGGUAGGCGGCCUGAGAGGGUGUACGCCCACAUUGGGACUGAGAUACGGCCCAAACUCCUACGGGAGGCAGCAGCUAAGAAUAUUCCGCAAUGGACGAAAGUCUGACGGAGCGACGCCGCGUGGAUGAUGAAGGCCGGAAGGUUGUAAAAUCCUUUUGUCGGGGAAGAAUAAGCGUGGGAGGGAAUGCCCGCGUGAUGACAUGAACCGGCGAAUAAGCCCCGGCUAACUACGUG